rnacentral:rRNA from 1 species
AUUGAACGCUGGCGGCAUGCCUUACACAUGCAAGUCGAACGGCAGCACGGGAGCAAUCCUGGUGGCGAGUGGCGAACGGGUGAGUAAUACAUCGGAACGUGCCCUGUAGUGGGGGAUAACUAGUCGAAAGACUAGCUAAUACCGCAUACGACCUGAGGGUGAAAGUGGGGGACCGCAAGGCCUCAUGCUAUAGGAGCGGCCGAUGUCUGAUUAGCUAGUUGGUGGGGUAAAGGCCUACCAAGGCGACGAUCAGUAGCUGGUCUGAGAGGACGAUCAGCCACACUGGGACUGAGACACGGCCCAGACUCCUACGGGAGGCAGCAGUGGGGAAUUUUGGACAAUGGGGGCAACCCUGAUCCAGCAAUGCCGCGUGUGUGAAGAAGGCCUUCGGGUUGUAAAGCACUUUUGUCCGGGAAGAAAUCGCACCUGAUAAUACCGGGUGUGGAUGACGGUACCGGAAGAAUAAGGACCGGCUAACUACGUGCCAGCAGCCGCGGUAAUACGUAGGGUCCAAGCGUUAAUCGGAAUUACUGGGCGUAAAGCGUGCGCAGGCGGUUGUGCAAGACCGAUGUGAAAUCCCCGAGCUUAACUUGGGAAUUGCAUUGGUGACUGCACGGCUAGAGUGUGUCAGA